rnacentral:rRNA from 1 species
ACCGUAGGUGGCAAGCGUUGUCCGGAAUUACUGGGUGUAAAGGGAGUGCAGGCGGGACGGCAAGUUGGAAGUGAAACCCAUGGGCUUAACCCAUGAACUGCUUUCAAAACUGCCGGUCUUGAGUGGUGCAGAGGUAGGCGGAAUUCCCGGUGUAGCGGUGGAAUGCGUAGAUAUCGGGAGGAACACCAGUGGCGAAGGCGGCCUACUGGGCACUAACUGACGCUGAGGCUCGAAAGCAUGGGUAGCAAACAGG